UAUUACUUUUAUUAUUAACUGGCUUCGAUAUAUUGUUUGAAGUAUUGUGUUAGUUCUAUUUGUCCUGUAUGUUAAAUGUCAUUCUGAUUUCAUGAAUGUUUAAAUUGUUUUUUAAAUGAAUCUCAUGCUAAAAAAAUAUGCUUUAAAGUGCAAGAUAUUCCUAAGAAGCCAAUGGCAGAAGAAUAUAAACCAAGAAAAGAAGAGAUCAUGACAAUGCAAGUGAAAGAAGCUUAUACGAAGACUGUGAUUGAAGAAUUCCAACAAGACGUUGUUCAGGAGAGAAAAGCGGCUGCUCCUGUUAAAGUUCUGGAGAUUCCACAGAAACACAAACCUGAACAAGUCCAAACAGUUAAAAUUACAAGAGAAAAGACAACUCUGAUAACAGGUAUAUUAAAAAAGUCUGUACAAAUAUUUCUUAGUCUUUCCUCUUUGUGCCUUAAAAUCAAGUUUUUAUAUAAUAUGGGCAGCGGCUUUGUCAGACACGCCCACACUGUGCGGGCAGCGGCUUAGUCAGACACGCACACGCUGGGCGGGGCAGCGGCUUCGUCAGCCACGCCCACGCUGGGCGUAGAGCGGCUCCGUUAGCGAC